AGCCGCUGCAGACAGGGACCGAGCGGAGGUUCGCAAAAAAACAGGGAACUCAUGAUGAAAGAUAACUAAAAAAUGCUGAGAGCACGGAAGAUGGGGGGACCAUCACUGUCACAGCUGGAAGACUCUAACAUUGGCUCCUGCAGCAAACACCAACCCCAAAAAGUCCUUUAGGAGCCACAGAGGGCUUCAUCUCCUGACGGAACCGAAGAUCUGCUGAUGCUGCCGGCCGACUGAGGAGGAGCUUUCUGUCCUUAUCAUCCCCCGGUUCACCGCGGCUCUACCCAGUCUCCAUGCGGCGCGGAGGGGCAGGAUGCAGCGCCGCAGAGCCCGGCCUCUCCAUGGAUCAUGUUUGCAAAGUGCU